AGCUGCUCUGGCCCAAGCAUGAAGGGCGCGCUCCAUGGCCUUGCUGGACGGAGGCAGCCCCAGAGGGUCAGGUUCCAAGGAGCCGCCUGGGCACCCCGAGGAGUCAGCCCGUGGAAGGAGAGCUCCCCCGAGACGGACGCGUGUGCGUGCAGGGAGCCAGCCAUGUGGGGCGCUGGCCGUGCUCCCCUGGCCCCCUCGGCAGUCGUGGGCCCUGCCUGCCCCUACUGUUACCUCUGGGGAGCCCAGCAUGUAACUGACCCCGCCUGCUGGCCUGACUGGAGGGCCCCCUGGCUGGAGUUUCCCGACCCUUGCAGUUCCACCAGGGUGCCCUUUGCCAGCCAUCCUUGGAUGGGGUACCCCCCUCUGGCUGCCUCAGGGCCUUCCAUCUGGGCCUGGGGCAUCUGCAGUUUUGAGCCCCUCGUGGGGAGCCAGCCCUCAGUCCCCUGUUUUUCCAGAGUGUUUCCUUACCCUGUGGAGCCCCCACCCCCAUUCUCCUCAGUCCUUCCAGCUCCAGCUACGGGUGCCCCGGGCCCAUGCCCAGACGGGGUGUGUGGGGAGCCAGCGCUCGGCCCCCUGGACCCCCAGGGUGCUUCCUUACCCUGUGGAGCCCCCACCCCCAUACUCCUCGUCCCCUCCAGCUCUAGGUGGGGACACCCCCGAGCCCGGUGCCCAGCAGGGGUGGCAGCCUCCGCCCAGCUCAGCCCGCCUGACUGCAGUGGGGAGACCGUCCAGAGCUGCUUCCCACGUGAUGAUGACACUCGAAAUCCUUCCCUCAGGAGGGGUGUCCAGGUUCAGCAUUUGGGCCCCCAAACCACCCUGCAGCCCAGAACUCUGCCCUCUGCCCCCUUCCCCCUGUGUGCACCCUCAGCCGGAACCCCACAGCCCCCGCCCCCACUGCCCACCCUCCCGGGCCCACUGCCGCCUCUUCCAGCUCUGAUAUGUGCUUGGAGACCAUGCCCUCCAGUGCUUAGGGGCCGUGGGGUCCAAUGAGCCCUGCUGUGCCCGCUGCCCAGAUAACUUCCCAAUCUGCUGUGACAGAUGGGGAGCACGGGCCAUUCUUAUAAAACGUGUAAUAGUGAGCGUCUUACAUUCAAAUAAGCGAUGCUGUGCUGUCAGCUGGGUUCAUGCUUCACUCGUUAGAAAGACCCAGCCUCAUUUGCAUGCGUACACUUCCGAUCAUUCUCAGAUUUGUUACCGAAAGUUUUUCAUGUGAUUAUUUCCUACUCUGUUGAUUAUCUGUGG
rnacentral:lncRNA from 1 species